rnacentral:misc_RNA from 1 species
GAUGAAGAACGCAGCGAAAUGCGAUAAGUAGUGUGAAUUGCAGAGUUCAGUGAAUCAUCGAAUCUUUGAACGCACAUUGCGGCCAUAGGUAUUCCUUUGGCCAUGCCUGUUCGAGCGUCAUUUACACCCUCAAGCCUAGCUUGGUGUUGGGCGUCUGUCCCGCCGUUUUCGCGCGCGGACUCGCCUCAAAGUCAUUGGCGGCGGUCGUGCCGGCCCCCUCGCGCAGCACAUUUGCGCUUCUCGGAGGCCCGGCGGAUCCGCGCUCCAGCAAGACCUUUCACGACUUGACCUCGGAUCAGGUAGGGAUACCCGCUGAACUUAAGCAUAUCAAUAAGCGGAGGA